GCUGUAGGUCAGUGGUAGAACAACUGAUUAGCAUUGCAGAAGGUCCCAGGUUCAUUCCCUAGCAUCUCCA